rnacentral:rRNA from 1 species
AGCUUGCUCUUAUGAAGUUAGCGGCGGACGGGUGAGUAACACGUGGGUAACCUGCCCAUAAGACUGGGAUAACUCCGGGAAACCGGGGCUAAUACCGGAUAACAUUUUGAACCGCAUGGUUCGAAAUUGAAAGGCGGCUUCGGCUGUCACUUAUGGAUGGACCCGCGUCGCAUUAGCUAGUUGGUGAGGUAACGGCUCACCAAGGCAACGAUGCGUAGCCAACCUGAGAGGGUGAUCGGCCACACUGGGACUGAGACACGGCCCAGACUCCUACGGGAGGCAGCAUUAGGGAAUCUUCCGCAAUGGACGAAAGUCUGACGGAGCAACGCCGCGUGAGUGAUGAAGGCUUUCGGGUCGUAAAACUCUGUUGUUAGGGAAAAACAAGUGCUAGUUGAAUAAGCUGGCACCUUGACGGUACCUAACCAGAAAGCCACGGCUAACUACGUGCCAGCAGCCGCGGUAAUACGUAGGUGGCAAGCGUUAUCCGGAAUUAUUGGGCGUAAAGCGCGCGCAGGUGGUUUCUUAAGUCUGAUGUGAAAGCCCACGGCUCACCCGUGGAGGGUCAGUGGAAACUGGGAGACUUGAGUGCAGAAGAGGAUAGUGGAAUUCCGUGUGUAGCGGAGAAAUGCGUAGAGAUAUGGAGGAACACCAGUGGCGAA